rnacentral:rRNA from 1 species
GCCGCGGUAAUUCCAGCUUCAGCAGCAUCUAUUAAAGUUGCUGCGGUUAAAAGGCUCGCAGUUGAAUGUCUGUAUCGAGCGCAGGUCAGGUGGACGUUGGGGCGUGGAAGUACGGGCAGUUGGAUGUCCGGGGGGCCUCGUGCUCAACGGCUCCUUCGGCUUUUCCACACACCCCCGUCCCUUACAAGCCUCCUCGCUCGGGUACAUAACGGGAAUCGGUCAAACGGAGUGUGGUCUUGGGAGUUGGGGCGUGCGUGGCUUCGCGGUUGCGUGCGUUCUUUCUUUCGGGGCUGCGUCAAGCUCCAUCGGUUUCACGGUCACCUUGAGUAAAUCAGAGUGCUCAAAGCAGUCGUAGGGGCCUUGCGCCCUGUGAACAGUCUUGACGGACUGACUUGGUUUUGCAUGGCAUGUCGGAAGACGACGUCGUGUGCUGGCUCAGAGGAUAAAUCAGUGGUACAAGCCAGCCUCGACGUAAUGAUUAAAAGGGACGGUCGAGGGCAUUGGUAUUGCGAGGCGAGAGGUGAAAUUCUGUGACCCCCGCAAGACCUCCUGAAGCGAAAGCGUCUGCCAAGGACGUUUUCAUUAAUCAUGAACGAAAGUUAGAGGAUCGAAGGCGAUCAGAUACCGCCCUAGUUCUAACCCUAAACGAUGCCAACCAUCAAUCCGCGCGUAGCACCCUUCUUAACGGGCUCGGCGGGCAGCUCCCCACUCACGGGAAACCAGAGCCUCUGGGUUCCGGGGGGAGUCUGGUUGCAAAGCUGAAACUUAAAGGAAUUGACGGAAAGGCACCACCAGGCGUGGAGCCUGCGGCUUAAUUUGACCCAACACGGGCCAUCUCACCAGGCCAGCACUCUUGUACGAUUGACAGAUUGAGAGCUCUUUCUCGAUUCAGUGGAUGGUGGUGCAUGGCCGUUCUUAGUUGGUGGAGUGAUCUGUCUGGUUAAUUCCGAUAACGAACGAGACUCUCCCCUGCUAACUAGUCGGUUGGAUCUUGAUCAGUGGGUUGAGUGCCGAGUAACUCUCGCUGUGCGUGUUGUGCGUCUCGUUCCUCACGGUUCGUUGCGUGCUCAUGUGUAGCGUUGGAUGCCUUGGAUCACACUGCACCCCAAGUCCGCCGCUUUGCUAUAACUCUUCUUAGAGGGAUUCACGGCACUGAAGCCGUAAGAGACUGAGAGCAAUAACAGGUCUGUGAUGCCCUUAGAUGCUCUGGGCCGCACGCGCGCUACAAUGCCGGGCACAGCAGGUGUUUCUCCUGCUCCGACAGGAGCGGGUAACCCUCUGAAAGCCAGUGUUCUUGCAAGUGCUUCCUCCCUCGUGGAGUUGCACAGAGGCGUGCUUGGGCCUGGGACUUGCAAUUCUUUCCCACCAACGAGGAAUGCCUAGUAGCGGCGGGUCACUGAGCCCGCUGUGACUCAGUCCCUGCCCUUUGUACACACCGCCCGUCGCUACUACCGAUUGGGUGUACCAGUGAGAGCCUUGGACUGGCGUCCGUUGUUGCUCGCAAGAGUGACAAGCGGGUCCGACGGAAAGAGGUCCGAACUGGUGCACUUAGAGGAAGUAAAAGUCGUAACAAGGUUUCCGUAGGUGAACCUGCGGAAG